GUAGAUGUCUGUGUUUGUGUGUGUUUCCGGCUUUGUUGUAGUCUGGCUUGAGAAUAUUAUACUGCUCUUAUUUAUGAUGAUCUUUCGUUUCUUAACUAUGGGGUUAUUUGUCUGAAUCUUUUGAUGAGAUUUUUAAGAAAUAACCCUUUAUGUUUCUACUUCGAAAGCCACUCAACUAUAUACAGAUUGGAAACAUGAUCAGAACACGCUUGCUCAUCCCAGCCUGAUGAAGAAAAUACUCAGCUCAGGGUCGGAGUUCCGGGGCUCAUGAUUUCAUUUACAAGGAUUUGGUCAAAAUAUAGCACCAUGGAUUAAUUAAUGAACUUCAAGGUAAAUUUGUAUUUUUCUGUUGAUAAUAUUUUGUGAUUAUUUGAAUACAUACCCAAAAUAACUUAUUUUUAAUUAUAGCAGUUGAAGAACACAAAUAAUAUUGCGUAUGUCUUAUAAUUAGUGUUUGUUAAAUAUAUUUAUGUAUGUUGUUUCUGCUCUCGACUUUCUUAAGACUGCAUAUCAUUCUGUUUUUUCGAAAACUUCGCAAAAAUCAGGGUAUAUAGAAAAUCAGAUGUUUGUGCAGCCUCUCAUAUUAUGUAUAUGCUGCCUUAUGAUGUCAGGUGUGGAUAAUCUACAAGGAAUCUAACUGGAUUUUGUCAGUAAUCUGGAUAGUUUUGAUCAUAUGUUUUGGAAGGUAUGGUUUGAUCUUGCUCGUUCCGGUUCCAUAUUUUUCUUGCUCUAUUUGCUUAUAUGUUUUGGAAGGUGUUGGUAUUCUGAUCACUUGCACAUCCUGUUUUCCUUCGCCUCAAAUGUUAGCCGACAGUGCUAAGGUUUAGUUUUUGCCUUUGCAGCAUCACCAUUGUGCCUACAUCGUUAUGCGGUUCUUAUAACUGACUCCUCAAGAAUCACUCUUAGAUCCUAUCUACUUUGUUUUGCUCACAAACAAGAAAAGGUGAGUAGUUAAUCAUCAAUUGCUUGAGAUCAUUGAGUGCUGAUUAACUCUAUUUUGAAUUCUAUAAUUGGCUAAAGUUUUUUAAAUAGGGUCGAGGAAUAGUCAUAUCAGUUAUUGCAACUAACAAGUUAUACAAGAAGUUAAAUGGGGGAAACUAGCUAAUUAUCUGAUUUUUCUUCUUCUUCUAUAGAAAUUCUUGCGUUCUGUUUCUCUCUUCGGUUUCAGGUUAGAACAUAUACUUAGUGAAGAUUAAAAUGUGCCACGGCCAUCUUCCAUCCUUGUCUCCUUCGAUUACUUCACGUGUAGAAGUGGCUAGUAAACAACAAGCUGAAUACUAGCCGAUUCGAGCUUGGCUAUUUAUAUAUUCAGCUGUUCAAUCUCAUCUUGAGCUUCUAUUUUGUGGCCGAGCUCAGUUUGCCACACGAUUACUAAGCUCGAGCUUGAAAUCGUGUUCGAGCUGUGAACAAAAAAUUUUCAAGUCACAGGCCACAAGAUUACUAAGUAUUGUUUAACUUUUGUUUCUAAUGUGUUCUCAGAAAUCGUGUUUUGAUUACAAAAUUGUCCUAUUUGAUUUUGUUCAUGUAGGUUCAAGCUAGUUAGAUGGUUGAUUGUUGGAUGAUUGUUGGUGAAUGAAGAUGUAAUUAGUUGGAGAUUUUAUUAGAAAUUUUUUAGUAGAUAAAUAAAGGCGUAACUAGAGACGAUACAAUUAUGAAUUUUAGUGGUUUAUAAGUAUUUUUUAUUAUUUGUUACUGGUUUAUGUGUAUUGUUUGAUUAUUUGAUGUUUAAGUAUUUUAAUUUUGUUAUAUAUAUUGGUAUUAUAAAUCAAGGAUGCAAAUAUAUUCGAUAUAUUUUUUAAAAAUUUUACCAUAGAAUAGACAACAAAUAUUACAUGUUGUCUAUCAUUAUAUAGACAACAGUUAAUAUCUCUUAUCUAUAACCACUAGGUUUGUUGUCUAUAUUAUUUUAGACAACAUAUCAUCUUUGUUGUCUAUUAGCUUCCAUUUGUUGUCUAUGUUUAAAUAGACAACAAAUAAUAUAUGUUGUCUAUUACCUUCCGUCUGUUGUCUAUCUUUAAAUAGACAACGUAUAAUAUUUGUUGUCUCUGAGCACCCCAAAAUAGACAACACUGGCCUAUACAACAGUCAUUUCCCACAUAGACAACACUAAAUAUAUGUUGUCUAUGUGCUAAAUUCUUGUAGUGGAUAAAAUAUGAAAAUUUUUAAGAGUUCGUGAGCAAAACGUAUUGUUUACCUCAUUUUUGGUUGAAAUUUGCGGUUCUUGGGACGCAAGUUUGAGCAUGCUCUGCGCAUAUUUGUGUUAUUUUAUACUCCCUCCGUCCGUCAAGAUUAUGUCACAAUUACUAUAUUGGGCGUCCGCCAAGAUUAUGUCACUUUCCUUUUAUGGCAAUGGUCCCACCAUCCUCUUUAAUAUUUUAUCCUUACUAACACUCUUUAUUUACAAAAAAACCAUCCAAAAUUCAAUAUCAACCACUCAUCUCAUAAAGUGGUGGGACCCUUUCUCCACUACAUCAAAAUCAUCACCAAUUUUAUUAAAUCCCGUGCCCAAGCAAAUUGCCAUAAUCAUGGCGGACGGAGGGAGUACUUGCUCAAUGGCUUUGUGUGUGUUCAUGUUGUUUUGUAGGGUGUUGUGGUGUUUUUGGCGUUUCACGAAGCUUUUUGUUGAUACGUCUUGGAUCUCCCGCUUCGCAGAGUUGUACGGGGGUCUCGUUGCCUGGUCAGAGAGUCGGGGGGUCGAGGGCGGCGAAGUCUCCCUUGCCUGGGGGUCCGGGGGGGCGGAGCCGCCCUCUACCCAGCGUUUUGGACGUUUUUUGAACGAAAGCUGCAGCCACCAUCGCCUCCGCGCCCACCGUCGCCUCCGGCGCUCGCUACCCACGUCGCCCGCCGUGUCCUUUUUGGCGAAGGGCAUAGGCGGCGGCGCCGCCUCGCGCCGCCCGCGUAUUUCUGGCAGUUACGUUUUUUGGGGUUUAAAACCCUUUUUCUAGGGUUUUCUUC
rnacentral:lncRNA from 1 species